UUGACCUCGGAUCAGGUAGGGAUACCCGCUGAACUUAAGCAUAUCAAUAAGCGGAGGAAAAGAAACCAACAGGGAUUACCUCAGUAACGGCGAGUGAAGCGGUAAGAGCUCAAAUUUGAAAGCUGGCUCCUUCGGGGUCCGCAUUGUAAUUUGCAGAGGAUGUUUCGGGAGCAGCCCCCAUCUAAGUGUCCUGGAACGGACCGUCAUAGAGGGUGAGAAUCCCGUAUGGGAUGGGGUGUCUGCGCCCAUGUGAAACUCCUUCGACGAGUCGAGUUGUUUGGGAAUGCAGCUCUAAAUGGGUGGUAAAUUUCAUCUAAAGCUAAAUAUUGGCCGGAGACCGAUAGCGCACAAGUAGAGUGAUCGAAAGAUGAAAAGCACUUUGAAAAGAGAGUUAAAAAGCACGUGAAAUUGUUGAAAGGGAAGCGCUUGCGAUCAGACUCGCCUUGGGGGUUCAGCCGGCAUUCGUGCCGGUGUACUUCCCCCAGGGCGGGCCAGCGUCGGUUUGGGUGGCUGGUCAAAGGCCCUUGGAAUGUAACGCCUCUCGGGGCGUCUUAUAGCCAAGGGUGCCAUGCAGCCUACCUGGACCGAGGAACGCGCUUCGGCUCGGACGC
rnacentral:rRNA from 2 species